rnacentral:rRNA from 1 species
GUGGGGAAUCUUGCGCAAUGGACGAAAGUCUGACGCAGCGACGCCGCGUGGGUGAUGAAGGCCUUCGGGUUGUAAAGCCCUGUGGGGAGGGACGAAUAAGUUCCAGCUAAUACCUGGAGCGAUGACGGUACCUCCUUAGCAAGCACCGGCUAACUCUGUGCCAGCAGCCGCGGUAAGACAGAGGGUGCAAACGUUGUUCGGAAUUACUGGGCGUAAAGCGCGUGUAGGCGGCCAUGCAAGUCGGAUGUGAAAGCCCUCGGCUCAACCGGGGAAGUGCACUCGAAACUGCAAGGCUAGAGUCUCGGAGAGGAUCGUGGAAUUCUCGGUGUAGAGGUGAAAUUCGUAGAUAUCGAGAGGAACACCGGUGGCGAAGGCGGCGAUCUGGACGAUGACUGACGCUGAGACGCGAAAGCGUGGGGAGCAAACAGGAUUAGAAACCCGUGUAGUCC